rnacentral:lncRNA from 1 species
UUCAGCAAUGUGGAGGUAGAGUUGAGAUUGAAGCGGUGCAUGAGCAUGGUGGAGGCAACCAUAGGAAAGAGCAUGCGUUGAGCAGUGAUAUUGAAUGAUGGAUUGAUCCAACGGACGAGGCGAGGGACGUAGAUGUGAAAAAAGAAUGUGAGGCAUGUGUACAAAAUUAACUCUGCUGUCAUAUUCAUUGUAACGAAUGUAUGUAUCCAAUCCAUGAGAGGAGGGAGAAAGAACUCAA